UUAGGCCUACGGGGCGCAGCAGUAGGGAAUCUUCCACAAUGGACGAAAGUCUGAUGGAGCAACGCCGCGUGAGUGAAGAAGGGUUUCGGCUCGUAAAGCUCUGUUGGUAGUGAAGAAAGAUAGAGGUAGUAACUGGCCUUUAUUUGACGGUAAUUACUUAGAAAGUCACGGCUAACUACGUGCCAACAGCCGCGGUAAUACGUAGGUGGCAAGCGUUGUCCGGAUUUAUUGGGCGGAAAGCG
rnacentral:rRNA from 1 species